rnacentral:lncRNA from 10 species
UUCUUUAAAAAAAAAAAUCUUUCCUUCCAAGUUUUUUCUUCCUUUGUUACUAUGACAUGAAUAAAUCACCUUGUAGAUUCUCUGUGUUUUGACUGCCUUCUCAUGGUCAGGGACUAGAAAGACCUGUUGUGUGGCCAUUUGCUAUGGUCUGCCCUACCCUGACCCCUCAGUUCCUACAUUGAAGUCCCAACCUCCCAGCUGAUGGUAGUAAGAGGUGGGAUCUUUUGGAGGGUGACUGGAUCAUGAUGGCCAAGCUCCUGUGAAUGGGAUU